CUACUCUUGACAUCCAGAGAACUUAGCAGAGAUGCUUUGGUGCCUUCGGGAGCUCUGAGACAGGUGCUGCAUGGCUGUCGUCAGCUCGUGUUGUGAAAUGUUGGGUUAAGUCCCGCAACGAGCGCAACCCUUAUCCUUUGUUGCCAGCGAUUCGGUCGGGAACUCAAAGGAGACUGCCGGUGAUAAACCGGAGGAAGGUGGGGAUGACGUCAAGUCAUCAUGGCCCUUACGAGUAGGGCUACACACGUGCUACAAUGGCGCAUACAAAGAGAAGCGACCUCGCGAGAGCAAGCGGACCUCAUAAAGUGCGUCGUAGUCCGGAUCGGAGUCUGCAACUCGACUCCGUGAAGUCGGAAUCGCUAGUAAUCGUGGAUCAGAAUGCCACGGUGAAUACGUUCCC
rnacentral:rRNA from 1 species